GACGAACGCUGGCGGCGUGCUUAACACAUGCAAGUCGAGCGGAAAGGCCCUUUCGGGGGUACUCGAGCGGCGAACGGGUGAGUAACACGUGAGUAAUCUGCCCUUGGCUUUGGGAUAACCACCGGAAACGGUGGCUAAUACCGGAUAUGACGGGCUCCGGCAUCGGGGUUCGUGGAAAGUUUUUCGGCCAGGGAUGUGCUCGCGGCCUAUCAGCUUGUUGGUGGGGUAAUGGCCUACCCAAGGCUUCGACGGGUAGCCGGCCUGAGAGGGUGACCGGCCACACUGGGACUGAGACACGGCCCAGACUCCUACGGGAGGCAGCAGUGGGGAAUAUUGGACAAUG
rnacentral:rRNA from 1 species